CCAAUAUAACAUUGAGCUCAUAAACACAUGAUGAAACGCAGUCUCUUUUUGAUGACUCAAAACAGCCAUGAUUACUGCAUUCCUUUAAAAGGAGCUUUGGAAAUAGUUUUGUUUUCAUGUCAGGAGCGUGAAGCCACAAGGCUAUAUAAAGCAAGGAUUUAUUGGAAGGACAUUGCCACACUGCUGGGAGGAGGGAAUGGGCAUCGCACUGUAUUUCUAUAAUCCUUCCUACCUGAAAUGGUCAUGGAGCAAAUAUAAACACGGUUACAAUCGACCUUUUACAACAAAAUCUAUUUGCAAGCGUUAUUAUGCUGAUGGGAAUGCUAUCGAGCUGCUCUCUCCCCCAUUCGUGUUUUGUUUCAUAUGGCUUGUCUAGAAGAUUCUGUAAAACGCUUCCCCUUCCCUUGACUUGUAAUAUUCUCGUUCACAAAAAAAAAAAAUAUGUAUAUGGUUGUAUUUUAUUAAGGAAGAAGAGGAGAGGAAGAGAAAAAGUGGAAGGCCUCUCUCUCAGUUUGUUGCUUAUAUACCAAACAAAGAGUCCUGGAAGCCUGUGCGCGAUCAAUCUUACUCGCCAAAAGGUCUGACAGCUCGGUGCCCUCACAACACAUUUAAGGCUUCUAACUCUCCCCCGGAUCAAAUUCAGCCAGGAAGCGUCGAGAAACAGUGGUCACUCAGAUUAGAACCAGUUUCUGCUCGCACUGCUAGUCUGUUUUUCGCUGGAGGGAUUUUUUUUCCUUAGGAACAAGAGAAAAAAGAGGAAUCUGGUCACACAAGAUGCGACCAUUUCCUCUCUGAGAGCCAUCGAACCCUCCACGAAGACCCGGUUGACAUUUUUAUUAUUAUGGAUGUGCCCACGCAGAUGAGAGAGACGCGCUGAGGGAAAAAAAAAGAGGGAGCCCACCCCCGAGAAUGAGAGUAAAUAGAUCAAAUGUUUGGUAUUUUAGCUGUAAGUUGUUCUUGUUUAUUGAAUAAAACCGUUUCACUAUUU